AUUGAACGCUGGCGGCAGGCCUAACACAUGCAAGUCGAACGGUAACAGGAAACAGCUUGCUGUUUCGCUGACGAGUGGCGGACGGGUGAGUAAUGUCUGGGAAACUGCCUGAUGGAGGGGGAUAACUACUGGAAACGGUAGCUAAUACCGCAUAACGUCGCAAGACCAAAGAGGGGGACCUUCGGGCCUCUUGCCAUCGGAUGUGCCCAGAUGGGAUUAGCUAGUAGGUGGGGUAACGGCUCACCUAGGCGACGAUCCCUAGCUGGUCUGAGAGGAUGACCAGCCACACUGGAACUGAGACACGGUCCAGACUCCUACGGGAGGCAGCAGUGGGGAAUAUUGCACGAUGGGCGCAAGCCUGAUGCAGCCAUGCCGCGUGUAUGAAGAAGGCCUUCGGGUUGUAAAGUACUUUCAGCGGGGAUGAAGGGAGUAAAGUUAAUACCUUUGCUCAUUGACGUUACCCGCAGAAGAAGCACCGGCUAACUCCGUG
rnacentral:rRNA from 1 species